CCCUUAGAUGUUCUGGGCCGCACGCGCGCUACACUGACGAAGUCAGCGAGCAUCUCCUACGCCGAAAGGUGCGGGGAAUCUCGUGAAACUUUGUCGUGCUGGGGAUUGAUUUUUGAAAUUCUUGAUCAUCAACGAGGAAUUCCUAGUAAGCGCAAGUCAGCAGCUUGCGUUGAUUACGUCCCUGCCCUUUGUACACACCGCCCGUCGCUACUACCGAUUGAAUGGUUUAGUGAGAUUUUUGGACUGGAACUCUCUUGUUCAGCAAUGAACGAGAGGGACUCUGGGAAGCUAUUCUAACUGUAUCAUUUAGAGGAAGUAAAAGUCGUAACA
rnacentral:rRNA from 1 species